rnacentral:snRNA from 12 species
AUACUUAUCUGACAGGGAUGUAUUCUGAUCAUGAAGGUGGUUUUUGAGAGUGAGCCUCAUCACUAGCACUUCAGGGAGACCGACUCCUGCAAUUUCCUCGUAUCCAGGGAACACGACUGUGAAAUUUGUGAUGUAGGAGAUUGUUUUUGUUCUUUUUCCUG